rnacentral:lncRNA from 1 species
AUUCUCUUGAUGAGACACAGGCAUCAGAUGUUUUUAAAUCUUUCUCAGUGAUUCCAAUGACUAGCCAAGUUUGAGAGCUAUAGUGGUUCCCCCCUUAUCCGCAGUUUCGCUUUCCUCGGUUUCAGUUACCUGUGGUCAGUUGCGGUCCAGAAGCAGAUGAUCCUCCUGACAUAUAGUCGAAAGCAAAAGCCUACAGCAUCCAACUGGAAGCACCUGAAACCCCUUGGCCCGUGUUUGGGACAGGCUGGAAUUCCUGAUGAGUUGAAGGCCCUAACAGCAACCCUCAACCGAUAACAUAUGGGAUUUGGAGGAAGAUUAGCCCUGAGCUAACUACUGCCAAUCCUCCUCUUUUGGCUGAGGAAGACUGGCCCUGAGCUAACAUCCAUGCCCAUCUUCCUCUACUUUAUAUGUGGGACGCCUGCCACAGCAUGGAGUGCCAAGUAGUGCCAUGUCCGUAUCCGGGAUCCGAGCCAGUGAACCCUGGGCCGCUGAAGCAGAACAUGCAAAUUUAACCACUGCACCACCAGGCCAGCCCCUGACUUCUCUUUAAUCCAUCCUAGUGUCUACUCACAGAAUUCAAGAUCAAAGAAAAAUCAGCAAAAGGUGCAAACAACAUCCUACUGCUUCUGUAAGGUUUCUCCAUUGGUUGAUAAAGAGGAAACAAUGAGGAAGAGAAAUGCCUAAACUUUUUCUGUCCUUCAUGUAGAAUAUGGAUCAAAUAAACCCAUACAUAAAGUUUGGAAGGGAUGUCCAAGAAUUAUAUGGGCAUAUAUUGUGAGUGCAAUAGAGAAUUGACUUUUAAAUAAUUUUAUACAUUACAUAAAAAUGGAAUGAUAGCCAUAAAGUUAUUAAGGAAAGGUAAGGUGGUAAGAACUGGGAUCUUUUCUUCAGAAUUCUAAUAAACAAUUGGAGUA